UACGUAGGGUGCGAGCGUUGUCCGGAAUUAUUGGGCGUAAAGCGCACGUAGGCGGCUUGUUAAGUCAGGGGUGAAAUCCUGGAGCUCAACUCCAGAACUGCCUUUGAUACUGGCGAGCUUGAGUUCGGGAGAGGUGAGUGGAACUGCGAGUGUAGAGGUGAAAUUCGUAGAUAUUCGCAAGAACACCAGUGGCGAAGGCGGCUCACUGGCCCGAUACUGACGCUGAGGUGCGAAAAGCGUGGGGAGCAAACAGG
rnacentral:rRNA from 1 species